rnacentral:rRNA from 1 species
UACGUAGGGACCGAGCGUUGUCCGGAAUCAUUGGGCGUAAAGAGCGUGUAGGCGGCUUGCUAAGUCUUGCGUGAAAUCUCGGGGCUCAACCCCGAGCGGUCGUGGGAAACUGGCAGGCUAGAGUGCGGGAGAGGAGAGUGGAAUUCCUGGUGUAGCGGUGAAAUGCGCGGAUAUCAGGAAGAACACCCGUGGCGAAGGCGGUUCUCUGGAACGCAACUGACGCUGAGACGCGAAAGCGUGGGGAGCAAACAGG